CGAGGGCCGAGUCCGCGUAAAGCCGAGAGCUGUAAUGAUGUCAACUUGUUAUUUACUUUCCAAAUCUGAAUGACUGAGCAAGGCGAAAGGAGAAUCAAUCAACCACAAUGUGACCCUACAGGCGGAAAAAACGCAGCGCUCCCACCAGCAGGCGGUGGGGGGAAGGGAAGCACGUGUAACCGGGACAGGGUUGCAUCAUGAGCUCGCUCGGGUUUGUCUCUUGCACCCUCCGUUUUUCGAUUGCAUGUAAUACCUCAGCCUCAGUCUGCACAAGCCCAGGGAGCCCGGGAGCAACGAAGGGCAGGCUCCAGGGAAGGCCCCACCAAGUCCUUUUGGGGGGUCUUCAAUGGCAACUGAUACAUAAUAAGACACAAUCUAUUCUGCUGAUUCACAAUUAUGGAGACUGUGGUGUCUCGUGUCCAGAGCCCCAGCGUAUCCGUCUGACGUGCUCCAGAGGCGGUGUCUGGCCCUUGGUAGGUGAAGGCAGCUGGGGAGAGGUGCCGUGACGUGUGGCCAAAGGCCACAGCACCUUCUGGGGUAAUACAAGAUAGAAGAGAGGUCUCCACAUAAGCCCUGGAAAGAAGAAAGGAUUGGCCUGCGUUUACUUCUGAGUAAGUAGAAUUGUGAAAGAUUUUAUUAGGAACAACCUGCCAACCUCUGUGUUUUCUAUGCUUAAAGCCACGCGGUCAUGUUUGUUUUCUUGUAUGCGCUGGAAAUGGAAAUUGGAGAUUCUUUGCAAUAGGUGAUUUUUGCUGGGGGGAAAAAUGUGA